UACGGAGGGUGCAAGCGUUAUCCGGAUUUACUGGGCUUAAAGGGUGCGUAGGUGGGCAGGUAAGUCAGUGGUGAAAUCCCCGGGCUUAACCCGGGAACUGCCAUUGAUACUAUCUGUCUUGAAUAUCCUGGAGGUGAGCGGAAUAUGUCAUGUAGCGGUGAAAUGCUUAGAUAUGACAUAGAACACCCAUUGCGAAGGCAGCUCACUACGGGAUCAUUGACACUGAGGCACGAAAGCGUGGGGAUCAAACAGG
rnacentral:rRNA from 1 species